rnacentral:rRNA from 1 species
UAAGGAAUAUUGGUCAAUGGAGGCAACUCUGAACCAGCCAUGCCGCGUGAAGGAUUAAGGCCCUCUGGGUUGUAAACUUCUUUUAUAUGGGAAGAAAUGUACUUUUUCUAAAGUGCUUGACGGUACCAUAGGAAUAAGCUCCGGCUAACUCCGUGCCAGCAGCCGCGGUAAUACGGAGGGUGCAAGCGUUAUCCGGAUUUACUGGGUUUAAAGGGUGCGUAGGCGGAUGAAUAAGUCAGUGGUGAAAUCUCCGAGCUUAACUCGGAAACUGCCGUUGAUACUAUUUGUCUUGAAUAUUGUGGAGGUAAGCGGAAUAUGUCAUGUAGCGGUGAAAUGCUUAGAUAUGACAUAGAACACCAAUUGCGAAGGCAGCUUGCUACACAAUCAUUGACGCUGAGGCACGAAAGCGUGGGGAUCAAACA